AAAUACCACAAUCAUUCUAAUUAUUUUUUGUCAUUGUUAUAAUUACUGUAUUAAUUACUAUUACUAGUACAAUGCUAGACUAAAAAUCUAACCACCACACAAGGUUUUCUUCCCAUGAUAACUCUAAAAGGAAAGAUCAGAAUUGAGAAGAAUAGGAGCAGUUCAUUCGCUCAAUCAGACUCGACACAGCUGAGAUCCACUUGAGGUUAAUUCACAGGGGCAGGUGACCUCCGUUUGCUUGUUGCUUUUAUUCCCAGGGCGAACCAUUUCAACCAGGGUUCCCUGAGCAAAUGGAAUGCUGCCUCACGGCACAAUAUCUAACAGCAGAAAAAGCGAUGGGCGAAGAGGUCUGUCGGCAGUCGGUUGUUGGAGGGUGUUGUUUCAAACUAAUUUGCGGAUACCAGGAAUGCAGUGGAAACAAAGUUAUUACAAGAGUGGCAAGAAUUGCAUAAUGAAUCGCAGAGGAAGAAACCCUGCAAAAGAGAGAAGAGUGGCCAAAACCUGAAACCCGUGACCUGAGCUUCAACUUUUUAGUAAGUAACUUUUGUAGUUAGGAACUGCUAUGUAUGGAUAAGUGAGCUCUAGCUUAUUUUCAUAAUAUUAUUUAUUAAAUACCUACUAUGUGUUAGAU